rnacentral:rRNA from 1 species
AUUGAACGCUGGCGGCAUGCCUUACACAUGCAAGUCGAACGGUAACAGGUCUUCGSACGCUGACGAGUGGMGAACGGGUGAGUAAUACAUCGGAACGUGCCCAGUCGUGGGGGAUAACUACUSGAAAGAGUAGCUAAUACCGCAUACGAUSUGAGGAUGAAAGCGGGGGACCUUCGGGCCUCGCGCGAUUGGAGCGGCCGAUGGCAGAUUAGGUAGUUGGUGGGAUAAAAGCUUACCAASCCGACGAUCUGUAGCUGGUCUGAGAGGACGACCAGCCACACUGGGACUGAGACACGGCCCAGACUCCUACGGGAGGCAGCAGUGGGGAAUUUUGGACAAUGGGCGAAAGCCUGAUCCAGCAAUGCCGCGUGCAGGAUGAAGGCCUUCGGGUUGUAAACUGCUUUUGUACGGAACGAAAAAGCUUCUCCUAAUACGAGAGGCCCAUGACGGUACCGUAAG